CAUGCAAGUCGAACGCUUCUUUUUCCACCGGAGCUUGCUCCACCGGAAAAAGAGGAGUGGCGAACGGGUGAGUAACACGUGGGUAACCUGCCCAUCAGAAGGGGAUAACACUUGGAAACAGGUGCUAAUACCGUAUAACAAUCAAAACCGCAUGGUUUUGAUUUGAAAGGCGCUUUCGGGUGUCGCUGAUGGAUGGACCCGCGGUGCAUUAGCUAGUUGGUGAGGUAACGGCUCACCAAGGCCACGAUGCAUAGCCGACCUGAGAGGGUGAUCGGCCACAUUGGGACUGAGACACGGCCCAAACUCCUACGGGAGGCAGCAGUAGGGAAUCUUCGGCAAUGGACGAAAGUCUGACCGAGCAACGCCGCGUGAGUGAAGAAGGUUUUCGGAUCGUAAAACUCUGUUGUUAGAGAAGAACAAGGAUGAGAGUAACUGUUCAUCCCUUGACGGUAUCUAACCAGAAAGCCACGGCUAACUACGUGCCAGCAGCCGCGGUAAUACGUAGGUGGCAAGCGUUGUCCGGAUUUAU
rnacentral:rRNA from 1 species